CUCUAUUUAGCUCCAGCUCCCACAGUGGAUCAAGGCGUUGGUCACUGCAUCACUCAUCAGCAUCCACAUUUGGCAGCCAGCUUGCCCCAGGCAUGACCCCAUUUGCAAGGCUGCUUUACAUGUGGACCGGUGCAAAAAAAAAAAAAUCUGCUACUCCUCACACAGGACAUGUUCUGCAGUGUCUUUCUUACAGGGACUUUUUGAGUGGGUGACAAUGAAAGAAACCGCUAAAGGUGGCAGUCACAAAGAGGAGGACGACCUGGAUGUGGAUGUGAUUGGCCACAACACCUCACAGCUCUUGGCUGCAAAUGAAUCAAGUGACCUUUAACUACUGCAAAUAUAGUUCUCUUAUACUCAUACCCUGUUAAUGUUCAUACUAUGCAAAAGCAGCUGGCUGUUUUGGCUGCAAGUCUAAUUUAUACUUGGGACGUACCACAGAUCUCUUUAAGGGUUUUUUUCCUUAGGAGUCUGCAGACAAAACAAACAAUGGACUUUGAAAGGUAGACAGCUCAAAAAGUUUCAAAAUCAGCUAAAAUAUUGGCCAGUGUGAAGAUAGCCUAGAGUUUCAUCCAACGCCUGGCUGCUACAAGACUGCCAAGAAGAGGAUCUCAGGGAUUUGAGUUUUUUGAAAACAAACCUCUCAAUCUAA